rnacentral:rRNA from 1 species
CCUACGGGAGGCAGCAGUGGGGAAUAUUGCGCAAUGGGCGAAAGCCUGACGCAGCGACGUCGCGUGAGGGAUGAAGGUCUUCGGAUCGUAAACCUCUGUCAGCAGGGAAGAACGGUCACUCUGCUAAUCAUCAUUGAAUUUACGGUACCUGCAAACGACGCACCGGCUAACUCCGGGCCCGCAGCCGCUGGAAAACGGAGGGUGCGAGCGUUAAUCGGAAUUACUGGGCGUAAAUCGCUCGGAAGCGGGAGGUCAAGUCAAGGGGUAAAUCCCCGCGGCCAAAGUCCGAACUGCCUUUGAAACUGGCAAACUUGAGUGUGUGAGAGGAUAGUGGAAU